rfam:Mustela putorius furo unplaced genomic scaffold scaffold00051, whole genome shotgun sequence.
GCCUGGCUGGCUCAGUUGGUAGAGUGUGUGAUAUUUGAUCUUGGGGUUGUGGGUUCAAGCCCCACGUUAGGUA